AAUUGCUUCAGUUCAUCACUACCACCCACCGUAAGCCUUAACUUUCGAAAUCAACCCAAAUAGCGACACAAACGGCAGCAGGUCUUGUUUGCGGUGCUGUCCACCCCCAACUGGCGACGGCGCGGUGCUCCCUUUCAUAGGCGUCGGCACAUUGCUCUCCUCCACGGGCGUCGGCGCGGUGCUCUCCUUCGCGGUCAUCUUCUCCACGCAUGCUGCUCCACAACUUCUCCUCCUCCUGUCUUGGCUCAACGUACGCGGUCACCUUCGAGAAACCUCCUUCCUUCCUCUUCUUCCCCUGUCUCGCCUCCUCUUCUUUGCAAGCUCUGACAACACUACAUGCAGCUGUAACCCCCUUCCUCCUCCUCCGCGUAUUGGUGCCAAAGGCUCAACUAGCACAGUAAAACUACAUCUUGGUUGUUGGAGAGCAGGAAGCAGAAACUGGACAGGUGCUUCUAAUUUUCACUUUGGAUGCUGCAUUAACAGUUCUCACUUUCAGAAACUACAAAACCGUAGCAAACCCUGUUCCAUUGGUGAGCUCUAAUGCAUUCCGGUGACCACCCCUCCGCUGCUCUAUUGCUUCGGUGACACUACAACGCAGCUACAACCUCCUCUCCCCUGCCUUCUUAUUUCUCUAUUCUUCAGUUUUCAGGUUUUUGCAAAAUCUCGUUUUGAUAUUCUCCAUUUUAAUUCAUUACAGUUUAGUUAGGAUUUAAUUCUUACUUAGUAAUUUUAUUUAGUCAAACUAGUUUUUGCUGAUUAGGUUAAUUUAGAUUAAAAUUGGGAUUCUCUUAUGAGCAUUUAUCUUAAUUCAUAAGUAAUUAAGCAUGCUAUUAUGAUUCUUAGAUCUGGAAUUUCAAUUUAUUUGGGCUGGCUUGAUUGAUUUUCUGGUUCUCCUUGGCUUCUCCACUAAGGUGCGCUUCAAAUUUAGCUGAAAUAUAGAGUCAGAGGGAAAUUAGAUACCCUUUUUAAUGCUGUGGGAUACAUAGACAGAGAGGUGCUUGGAAUCAACCACAUGUAUAAGCAUCCAGAUUGGAAGAGAAUUCUAAGGCUUACUGCCUUUUUCUUAGGCUUGCACCGAGAAAUCACCUUUCGAAGUGCCAUUUAGGAAAAAUGCUCCCUCAUGGUGUUAUGCUCCUUUUGAGCCAGAAGGAAUUCUAAGGUCUGUAAUUGAAAAUGUCUUUACAUAGUUAAUUUGAGUUUUGAUGACAAGUAAUAUAAUUAUGAUAUGCAAUUGUAGCUCAAUAUCAGCUAUUCUGUCCACAAUUAUUGGAUUGCAUUUUGGACAUGUACUCAUACACAUGCAGGUGAUGAAGCCUUUGAAUCAAAGCGAUUAUCUAAUAAUCUUUGAUUUUGACAUCUCUACAACUUGUGCUUACUCUUCCAGUUAUGUGAUUUUUUCCAUAGGAUCAUCCUUUAAGAUUGAAGCAUUAGAUUCUCCUGGGUUUAUCUCUUCUUACUUUGGGACUUAUUCUUCACUUCACUGAUGAUGAACUCUAAUUAACCAAGUGUUCAGCUGGAAUAUCUUUACUAUAUAUUCUAACCACUCACAUGUUACUUCUUUCUGCGUCGCAACCACUCCUUUGAAUAAGAAACGGUAUACACUAAGCUAUGUUUGAUAAACAUCUGGAGUAGCAACAUUAGUAUUUUCAGCCUUUUAUACAAUGAUAUUAUUAUAUACUAUGAAAGUUCUAGUUGCCAUUGUAUCAUGAUAGUGAUAGAUAAAUCUUGUACAUUGGAUUAUUGCAUUGCAUGUUGAUAUUUGGAGCUUGAAACUAUGGUUCAUGCCUUUGAAAUGGAUUGGCAUGGAUGCCAUGUUUGUGUAUAUUAUGGCAGCCGAGGGUAUCAAAGGUAAGAUUCUUAAGUAGGUAAUCAAAAGAGUGGUGGUUGCUUCUUAAUAUACUGAAGCCCUUAAAAAAAUUUAUUUACUUGCAAAUAAAUAUAGUUGCACAUAAUGACGGUCACCACAUUACAUUGGAAAAAAAACUUAUAUUAAAAGAUGCUAUUUCUGGCCUUUCUCUGGUAUAUUUUAAUUUUUUAUUCAUUCUUUUAUUGUCUUUAUGUUUUAUGAUAAUUUGGUUGUUGAUGAAUGUCAUUUACCUAUUAGGAUUGAGAAUGAUGAUUAUGCUUUAACUUGUUUGGUCCUUAUAUUGUGUUAAGUUUACACUAUAUAGUUGUUUUCUUUAGUAUUGAUGAAUAUGGUUUUAUUCUUUUAUUGGUAUUUUAUAUGAUAUGAAGAUGUUUAGCUUAAUAGGUUACUUAAUUGUUGUUUGGUCACUGGUGAGUAUGGUUGGACUGCAAACAUGGGGAGGAUUAUGAAGGCACAGGCCUUGAGAGAUAAUGGCAUGACUGGCUACAUAUCUAGUAAGAAGACUAUGGAGAUCAAUUCUGACAUACAUCCGCAUUAUGAAAGAACUGACGAAGAGAACGGAAGAUGAUAAAAUUAGGCAUUUAUUUGUUUUUUUUUUUUGUUGAAGUUCAUGAGAAAAUAUGUAUUUUUUUGUUUAGUCAUGUGUAUUUUGAUUUGAAUUGGCAAUUGCAAGUAUAUGUCAUUAAAAUUUACU